GAAGUGCGAUAAGCAAUGCGAAUUGCAGAACCGUGAGUCAUCAGAUUUUUGAACGCAACUGGCGCCGGUUGGUCCUCCAGCCGGCAUGCUUGUUUCAGUGUCUCUUUUUCUCAUCACCCAAAUCAUAAUGCGAGAGAUACCCUUCUCUUGUUAAGCAUGAAAGCACUCUGCGCUCUGCGAGCGACUUCGACUUGUUCGAUGGUCGCACUCAAUGCAGCAGUCACAUUGUUACAAUGUGAACUCAUUGAGAGUUGAGGCAGUGCAGCGAAAGCUGUAAGUGCUUAGUCACACAAACUUACUUGCAUCUGAAAUCAAGCAGGAUCACCCGCUGAACUUAA
rnacentral:misc_RNA from 1 species